AAAUAAAAUCUCUACACAUGACCUAUAAGUGUGUAUUCCCAUGAAUGAUUUCUAAGAAAUGGCACUGUACACUGAACGCAGUGGCUCACGUCUGUCAUCCCAGCACUUUGGCAGGCCGAGGUGGGUGGUUCACGAGGUCAGGAGUUCAAGACCAGCCUAGUCAUCAUGGUGAAACCCCGUCUCUACUGAAAAUAUGAAACCGAGUCGGGCGCAGUGGGGCAGGCACCUGUAAUCCCAGCUACUCGGGAGGUUGAGGCGGGAGAAUCGCUUGAACCUCGCAGGCGGAGGUUUCAGUGACCCAGGAUGGCGCCACUGCACUACAGCCUGGGCGACAGAGUGAGACUUGGUCUCCAAAUAAAUAAAUAAAUAAAUGAAAGAAAGAAAAGAAAAGAAAAGAAAAGAAAAGAAAAGAAAAGAAAAGAAAAGAAAACCAGAAAAGAAAGAAAAUGAAAGAAAAGUCACUGUAUCGCUACUGGGCUAGGACCUUCUCUCUGUCUGUUUCUCUUUGUCUCUCUCUGUCCGUCUCUGUCUUUCUCUAUCUGUCUCUUUCUCUGUCUGUCUGUCUGUCUCUUUCUUUCUCUCUGUCUCUGUCUCUCUCUCUCUCUCUCUCUGUGUCUGUCUUCUGUCUUACUGUCUUUCUCUGCCUGUCUGUCUGUCUGUCUCUCUCUGUCUCUGUCAUUGUCUCUCUCUCUCUGUCUUUCUCUCUUUGUGUAUCUUUGUGUCUCUCUGUCUGUCUCUCUCUGUCUCUGUCAUUCUCUCUCUCUCUCUCUCUCUCUCUCUCUCUCUCUCUCUCUCUCUCUCUCUCGCCGGCUCUCUGGCUCUCGCUAUCUCCUGCCCUCUCUUUCUUUGCAAAAUAAGUUCAAGUACAUCUAAUCUAAUCC
rnacentral:lncRNA from 1 species